CGGCAUACAGCUCAGUAACACGUGGCUAACCUGCCCUUGAGACGGAGACACCCCCGGGAAACUGGGGUUAAUUUCCGAUAGGUGAAAAAUUCUGGAAUGAAUUUUCGCUCAAAAGAGAUUUAUGUUAUGCUCAUAUUCGUCGCUCAGGGGAUGGGGCCGCGACCGAUCAGGUUGUUGGUGAGGUAAUGGCUCACCAAGCCUUUUACCGGUACGGGCCGUGAGAGCGGGAGCCCGGAGAUGGGCACUGAGACAAGGGCCCAGGCCCUACGGGGCGCAGCAGUCGCGAAACCUUUGCAAUACACGAAAGUGUGACAAGGCUAUCCCGAGUGCCAUCCGCUGAGGAAGGCUUUUACCCAGUAUAAAUAGCUGGGAGAAUAAGGAGAGGGCAAGUCUGGUGUCAGCCGCCGCGGUAAUACCAGCUCUCCGAGUAGUGUGGAUGUUUAUUGGGCCUAAAGCAUCCGUAGCUUGCUAAGCAAGUCCCCUGUUAAAUCCACCGAUUCAAUCGUUGGAUUGCGGGGGAUACUGUUUAGCUAGGGGACGGGAGAGGUCGACGGUAUUUCCGGGGUAGGGGUGAAAUCCUAUAAUCCCGGGAGGACCACCAGUGGCGAAGGCUGUCGACUAGAACGCGCCCGACGGUGAGUGAUGAAAGCUGGGGGAGCGAACCGGAUUAGAUACCCGGGUAGUCCCAGCUGUAAACGAUGCAGGCUAGGUGUUUGGGCGGCCACGAGCCGCCCUAGUGCCGCAGGGAAGCUGUUAAGCCUGCCGCCUGGGGAGUACGGCCGCAAGGCUGAAACUUAAAGGAAUUGGCGGGGGAGCACCACAAGGGGUGAAGCUUGCGGUUU
rnacentral:rRNA from 1 species